rnacentral:lncRNA from 1 species
AUUGGAUCCGGCGCUCCCGGCAGGCCUACAGAAUUGGGCAUGAAACAGCAAAGGAUGGCCUCUGCUUCCACCACCAUCAGAAAUGUUAUAUUUUCACCAGUGCACCAUAAUGUAGCAGUCUCUCCAUAAUGUAGCAGGUGAGGUAUCACCUGGAGUUCUUCGUCUCAUGACCAAGAAAAUUAAGGAGCGUGGAUGCAAAGGAUGAAGUUGCAGCGAAAGUUUAAUAAGCAAAAGAAGAAAGCUCUCCACAGUGGAGAGGGGACCUGGAGGAGGGUUGCUGCUUUUACAGGUGACUGCAAAGGCUUUUAUAAGAACCGGUGAGGGCUGGGCAUCUCAUUUGCAUAAGGCAUGAAUUUCUGGUAGCUCCACCUCAUCCUUCUAGUGUGCAUGUGGGCCCUUAGCUUAAGUUUUAUUCCAUAUUGCUUUUUUCCCCUUACUGCGCAUGUGUCAGGGGAUGGAAUUUUCCACUGCAGAAGUAUCUGGGCAAGUCAUCUGGGUAGGCUUUCAUAUCUGUGUGGCUGUGGGAAUGUCUUAGUCAAGGCCACCUGUGCAGAUCCCCUUAUCUGUGCCUGCAGCUUGAUUUUUCAGGCUGUUCUUUUGUUUGAAAGAAUUUAACCAAGGACCCACCCUAACUGAUGCCUGAAAGGUUUCUUCCUUUCUCCUCUCUCAGUAUCUUCCCUUGUGGACUACACCAGUGUCGAAAUGUUCUUGCUAAAAAUGAUGCAGGGAGAAAGACAAAGUUACAAAGUUGGCAUCCACAAUUUUUCCAUCUUGCCCCACUUC